rnacentral:rRNA from 1 species
AUACGUAGGGAGCGAGCGUUGUCCGGAAUUACUGGGCGUAAAGGGCGCGUAGGCGGCACUUCAAGUCGUCUGUCAAAUGGGAGGGCUUAACCCUUUUUCGCAGACGAAACUGGAGAGCUUGAGAAGCAGAGAGGCAAACAGAAUUCCUGGUGUAGCGGUGAAAUGCGUAAAUAUCAGGAAGAAUACCAGUGGCGAAGGCGGUUUGCUGGCUGCAUACUGACGCUGAAGCGCGAAAGCCAGGGGAGCAAACGGGAUUAGAUACCCCGGUAGUCCUGGCAGUAAACGAUGUAUGCUGGGUGUGAGACUAGCGAUAGUUUCGUGCCGAAGUUAACGCGAUAAGCAUACCGCCUGGGGAGUACGGUCGCAAGAUUGAAACUCAAAGGAAUUGACGGGG